ensembl:lncRNA Down syndrome cell adhesion molecule homolog
UGUUAACCAGCUCUUCAGGUGCGCCUUCUUUAACUGCAAAUGUACCCUCCCUGCUGUACAUGCUCUCACCUAGCGCCUAGGAGGACUGGCUGGCGCCUCUGCUCCUUUAAGGCAAUGAGGAAUUAAAGUGGCUGCAGAGGCAGGGGAGAGGGUUAUGAGGCAGCGAGGGUUACCGCAUGGACCAACGCGAUUAAAAGGGCAGUGGGAAGAUGCGCGUGCUUGCCUCUUGCUGGACGGAGAGAGGUGGUGAAGAUGGUCUGACUUCAGCUCAUCCGGAUUGGGUUUUCAUUCUUAUUGAACUGACCGUUUACUCUUUAUUUUAAGUUAUUUUAUUUGUCACAUUUUGUUUCCCAACCUGCUUCUAUUUUUCAGUUUUCGAUUUAAGAUGCGUUUUUUGGAUUCCACAUUGUUAUUGUUUAGGUGUCCCCGUUUUAACACCCAGACAUUUAUUUGAGGACCUAUCGUUGCCCGCGUGCCACUACCCUGACUCAGCAUCACACCUGGACUGCAGGCGAGCACUGUAGCCCCCUCGAGCAUCCCUUUGAAGAGCAGGGGAAGUAGCAAGGCACGGAGGACCAGAGUAGAGCUGAGCAGAGUCCGAUCACAGCUUUAACCAAGACAAUCAGAGAUACAUAUACUAUAUCCUCCAAGCGUAAAGAGGGGUCGGAAAGGGGAGAGGAAGAGUAGGCUACGAGAGUACCAGGGAGGGAGUUAUAGAGAAACAAGGAGGAGACGUUGAAGACAUCAGAUCAGCAGAGAGUUGGACUGGUUACUACAAGCUAGUAGCAAAUGUUUAACAUUACACCUGCCACAGAACAUAAUUAUAGGAAGGCAGCGGUCAAAGAGUGCGGAGGAAGACGAGAAAGCAUAGCUUUGGGGGAUUUGAACGGAGCGGGGCAUGUGGAUAUUUGCAGUUAUCUUUUUCCAGAGCAUCUUAAAUGUUUUUAGUGAAGAUCUACGUUCCAGCUUAUAUUUUGUCAAUGCAUCUUUGCAAGAGGUAGUGUUUGCCAGCACCACAGGGACCCUGGUGCCCUGUCCCGCUGCAGGGGUGCCCCCCGCCUCGCUGCGCUGGUACCUGGCCACUGAAGAGGAGAUCUACGAUGUGCCCGGGAUCCGCCACGUGCACCCCAAUGGCACUCUCCAGAUCUUUAACUUCCUCCCCUCCAGCUUUAGUAAGCUUAUCCAUGACAAUACCUACUAUUGCACAGCUGAAAAUCCUUCAGGGAAAAUAAGAAGUCAAGAUGUCCACAUUAAGGCCGUAUUUCGGGAACCCUACACGGUUCGGGUGGAGGACCAGAAAGCCAUGAGAGGCAAUGUAGCGGUCUUCAAGUGCAUUAUCCCAGCCUCCGUGGAGGCUUACGUCACUGUCGUAUCGUGGGAGAAAGACACAGUCUCACUAUCCUCAGGACCUAGAGUUCUCAUCACAACCACAGGAGCCUUGUAUAUUCUGGAUGUCCAGAAUGAGGAUGGACUGUAUAACUACCGCUGUACCACACGGCAUCGCUACACUGGCGAGACCAGGCAAAGCAACAGCGCCCGGCUUUUUGUGUCAGAUCCCACUAACUCAGAGCCGGGGAUUCUGGAUGGCUUUGACCGUCGGGAGGUCAUGGCGUCCCAUCGGGUAGAGCUGCCCUGUAAGGCGUCGGGCCAUCCCAUGCCCAAGUACCGCUGGCUGAAGGACAACAGCCCCCUGGAGCCCGACACACGUUUCCGCCAGAGUGUCACGGGCUUGCUGAUAGAGAGCGCCCAGCCCACCGACUCUGGCACCUACGUGUGUGAGGUGUGGAACAGCUAUGGCAACGCUGAGGUGGUGGGCCGGCUGCUGGUCAAACAGCCCCUGAAGGCGGUGGUCAGCCCACGAAAGGUGAAGGGCAGCGUGGGUAGUAAGGUGUCCUUGCAUUGCAGUGUCAGUGGCUCUGAUGAGUACGAGCUGUCCUGGUACCGUAACGGAGAGAUCAUCUACCCCGGCAACAACGUGCGGAUCACAGGCAUCAGCAGGGAGAACCUGAUCAUGGAGGGCAUGGCCAAGAGCGACGGAGGGGCCUACCAAUGUUUCGCCAGGAAGAACAAAAUGUCCGCUCAGGAUUUUGUUCCGGUCAUCUUGGAGGACGGCACUCCAAAGAUUCUGUUCUCCUUCAGUGAGAAGGUGGUCAACCCCAACGAACCGGUCUUCCUGGUGUGUAACGUCAAAGGCACUCCCCCUCCCUCCUGCACCUGGAACCUGGACGACGACCCGGUCAUCAAGGACAACCACCACCACCCUGGCCACUACGAGACCAAUGAGGGCCACGUGGUCAGCCAGCUGAACAUCACUCACACCAAGGAGGUGGACGGAGGGGUGUAUCGCUGCACCUGCAGGAACUCGGCCGGGGCGGUCUACCACCAGGCUCGAAUAAACGUAAGAGGGGCUGCCAGCAUCCGUCCAAUGAAAAACAUCACGGCCAUCGCAGGGCGGGACGCGUACGUCCACUGUCGCGUUAUUGGCUACCCGUAUUAUUCCAUCAAGUGGUAUAAGAACUCCCACCUGCUCCCCUUCAACCACAGGCAGCGGGCCUUCGAGAACAACGGCACUCUGAAGCUGUCUAACGUGCAGGAGCUGGACCAGGGAGAGUACAAUUGCAGGGUAUUGGUCAAACCUCACCAAGAGACCAAUCAGAGCGUCCAUCUCAGUGUCAAAGUUCCACCGUACAUCCAGCCCUUUGCAUUCCAGCGGUUCUCCAUUGGCCAGCGUGUCUUCAUCCCCUGCGUGGUAAUGUCAGGUGACCAGCCCCUGGACAUCACAUGGCAGAAGGACGGGCGGCCAAUCCCUGCCAGUCUGGGGGUCACCAUCGACAACAUAGAGUUCACCAGCUCACUGCGGAUCUCCAACCUGUCCCCAGACCACAACGGAAACUACACCUGCAUUGCACGCAACGAGGCUGCAGCCGUUGAGCACCAGAGUCAGCUCAUUGUCCGGGUUCCUCCCCAGUUUGUGGUGCAGCCCACAGACCAGGAUGGGAUCUAUGGCAAAACUGUGACCCUCAACUGCUCUGCUGAGGGUUAUCCACGCCCCACCCUCGUAUGGAAGCACUCCAAAGGUAACGGGGUUCCCCAGUUCCAGCCCAUCGCCCUGAACUCUGGCUCCCGUAUCCAGCUGCUGGUCAACGGCUCUCUGCUCAUCAAACACGUGCUGGAGGAGGACAGCGGCUACUACCUGUGUAAGGUCAGCAACGAUGUGGGAGCUGACGUCAGCAAGUCCAUGUACCUCACCGUCAAAAUCCCGGCCAUGAUCACGUCGUACCCCAACACCACCAUGGCCACGGUGGGCCAGCAGAAGGAGAUGAGCUGCACGGCCCACGGGGAAAAGCCCAUCAUGGUGCGCUGGGAGAAGGAGGAACGCAUCAUCAACCCAGAGACCAGCCGCUACACCGUCGUGGUCAAAGAGGUGGCUGACGAGGUCAUCUCCACUCUGAAGAUUUUGCCCACUGUUCGGGAAGAUUCUGGAUUCUUCUCCUGCCAUGCAAUCAACUCCUAUGGUGAAGACAGAGGGAUCAUUCAGUUAACAGUGCAAGAACCUCCAGACCCUCCCGAGGUGGAGAUCCGAGAGGUCAGAGACCGGACAAUCGCCCUCCGCUGGACCAUGGGCUUCGACGGAAACAGCCCUAUCACAGGAUAUGACAUUGAGUGCAAGAACAAAUCAGGUAGGGCUGAUGCUAAUAGGUUCAUUGUGUUUCUGAACCAGGCCACCAUUAUAGACCUGCACCCCUCCUCCACCUACAACAUCCGCAUUUUCGCCAAGAACGACAUCGGCAAGAGCGACACCAGCAACGAGCUCACUAUCACCACUGACGAAGCAGCCCCCGAUGGCCCUCCACAGGAAGUACAACUGGAGGCCACCUCUCCACAAAGCAUCAAAGUCACCUGGAAGGCCCCCCACAAGCACCUUCAGAACGGGGUGAUCCGGGGCUACCAGGUGGGUUACAGAGAGUACAGCUCUGGAGGCAGCUUCCAGUUUAACAUCAUCAGCAUGGACACCACAGGGGACAGCAGCGAGAGCAUCACCCUGGACAACCUGAGGAAGUUCACUGAGUACGGGGUGGUGGUGCAGGCGGCUAACCGUGCUGGCACCGGGCCCUCCUCUCAGGAGGUCAUCACCAAAACACUGGAGGAUGUCCCCUCGCGUCCCCCUGAGAAUGUCCUGGCCAUGGCCAAGUCUCCAGAAGUCAUCUCUCUGUCCUGGUUGACCCUGCCCAAAGAGGCCCUGAAUGGAAACCUGCAGGGCUACCGAGUCAUCUACUGGGCCAACCUGGCAGAUGGAGAGUUGGGAGAGAUCAGGAACGUGACCACCUCCUACCCAUCUCUGGAACUGGAUGGUCUGGAGAAAUACACCAACUACAGCAUCCAGGUUCUGGCCUUCACCCGGGCAGGGGACGGGGUGCGCAGCGAGCAGAUCUUCACCCGGACCAAGGAAGACAUCCCUGGGCCUCCAGCGGGGGUUAAGGCCGCAGCCUCCACCAGCUCCGUGGUGUUUGUGUCCUGGCUCCCUCCUCUCAAACUCAACGGCAUUAUCAGGAAGUACAUUGUCUUCUGCUCCAACCACCCCACGGUGAUGAGUGAGUUUGAGGCUUCUCCUGAUGUGUAUUUCUACAGAGUGCCAAACCUGGCCCGCAACAGGAAGUACAGCAUCUGGGUGGUUGCCGUGACAGCCGCUGGGCGAGGCAACAGCAGUGAGACCAUCACAGUGGAACCUCGGGCCAAAGCUCCGGCCAGGAUCCUGACGUUCAACGGAACAGUGACUACACCCUGGAUGAGGGACAUCGUCCUGCCCUGCAAGGCGGUCGGAGAUCCACCCCCCACCAUCAAGUGGCUGAAGGGAAACAAUGGUACCCCUGCUCCUGUUCUGAUUGACGGACGCCACAGUGUCCAUAGCAACGCUAGUUUCAUCAUCCGGACGGUGAAAGCAGAGGACUCUGGGAACUACAGCUGUGUGGCCAGCAACAACUGGGGCUCUGAUGAAAUCACGCUGAACCUACAGGUUCAAGUUCCUCCAGACCAACCACGCCUCACAGUUACCAAGACAACUACCACGUCAAUCACUCUGUCCUGGAUACCUGGGGACAACGGAGGAAGCUCCAUCAGAGGCUACAUCCUGCAGUACUCAGAGGACAACAGUGAGCAGUGGGGCAGCUUUCCCAUCAGCCCUAGCGAGCGCUCGUACCGUCUGGAGAACCUGAAGUGUGGCACCUGGUACAAGUUCACCCUGACUGCUCAGAACGGAGUGGGCCCCGGACGCAUCAGUGAGAUCAUUGAAGCGAAGACCCACGGAAAAGAGCCCCAGUUUGCCAAAGAACAUGAGCUGUUUGCCAGCAUCAACUCCACCCGGGUCAGGCUCAAUCUAAUUGGGUGGAACAAUGGUGGCUGCCCAAUCACCUCGUUCACCCUGGAGUACCAUCCGAUGGACACGGCAACGUGGACCACGGCUCAGCGCACCUCGCUAACCAAGAGCUACAUCCUGUAUGACCUGGCGGAGGCCACCUGGUACGAACUGCAGAUGAAAGUGGUCAACAGCGCCGGCUCCGCCGAGAAGAAGAUCAUGUUCGCCACGCUCAACGCCGAUGGAAGCACCAUCCCUCCUUUGUUGAAGACAGUGGACCCCAUCACAGACAACAUGUCAGGCAACGAGGGGCUGAAGAUGAUGGUGACCAUCACCUGUAUCCUGGUGGCUGCUGUCAUGGUCUUCAUCCUCCUGAUGGUACUGAAGAGGAGGAGGAGGGAGCAGAGGCUCAAGAGGCUACGCGAUGCAAAAAGCCUGGCAGAAAUGCUGAUGAGUAAAAACACACGGACACCAGACACAUCCAACAAGCAGCAGACCAUGAGAAUGCACAUCGAUAUCCCCCGAGCCCAGCUGCUCAUCGAGGAGAGAGAUACUAUGGAGAUUAUUGACGACAGGUCGACGGUGCUGCUGACUGAUAAUGACUUUGGGGAGACGUCCAAACAGAAGUCGUCCACGGUCACGCACACAGUCCAUUACCAGUCCCUGUCGCAGGCCACCGGCCCACUGGUGGACGUCUCUGACGCCCGGCCUGGAACCAACCCCACAGCACGCCGCACUGCCAAAGCAGGCCCUGCAGCCAGCAGGAACCGCUAUGCCAGCCAGUGGACUCUGAACCGGCCACAACCACCCACCUCCUCCCACACCCUGAGCACAGACUGGAGACUGCCCACACCGCGCGCCACCGGCUCUGUGGACAAGGAGAGCGACAGCUACAGCGUCAGCCCAUCGCAGGACACAGACCGCGCGCGGAGCAGCAUGGUGUCGACGGAGAGCGCGUCGUCUACGUACGAAGAGCUAGCCCGGGCCUAUGAGCACGCCAAGAUGGAGGAGCACCUGCGGCACGCCAAGUUCACUAUCACAGAGUGCUUCAUCUCCGACACCUCCUCAGAGCAAAUGACGGCCGGCACCAACGAGUACACAGACAGCCUAGCAUCUAGCACGCCUUCUGAGUCAGGCAUCUGCAGGUUCACCGCCUCCCCGCCCAAGCCUCAGGACAUCAGCCGGGUCAUGAACAUGGCCGCACCAAAGGCCCACAGACCGGGUGGAGAGCUGGUGCACCUGCCCCCGUACCUACGCAUGGACUUCCUGUUAAACCGUGGCUCUGUGUCGGGAGGCCGGGGGUCCAACGGUGGUAACGGAGGAGGGGAGGCAGGGGCGUUGGGCCAGGCGUGUCUGGAGCCCCAGAAGAGCCGCACCCUGAAACGGCCCCCGCUCCUGGAGCCCACACCCAUGGAGGUGCCCACGUCCAGGGAGGUGCAGCAGUGGCAGCCAGGGACUGCCUCCACACUGCCCCAGCGUGAGCCCACUGGCCGUGAGGCCACCGGAGAUCUGGCCCAGGCACAGGCCGCCAAGCUCAGCAGCUCACAGGAGUCCCUGCUAGACUCCAGAGGACACUUAAAACAGAGCAACAACCCCUACGCAAAGUCCUACACACUGGUAUAACACAAGGAGUUACGUUACACACUCCAGGACUUGGACUGUAUACUGUACUGCAGCUCUACACAGAGAGCUGGCAUGGAACAAUGAUGAUGAUGGACACUUUUCAACAACAACUGAAGUUGUAUAUUUCUGACUCCAAGUAUUCCUUUCUUUUGUUCUUUCUCCCUUCUUUCCACUUCUGGCUCUCUCAUUUCUCAGUUUUAUUUUCUAUUUUGAGUAUUAUUUUAUUCUAAACACCAUAUGAAGAUUGCCAAAUAAUGUAUUUAAAUUUGACAGAGAAAAAUACUAUUGAAUUUAUAUCAAGGAUAAUUACAGUCAUUAUUAUUAUAUAUAAAAAUAUAGAAAUGUCUAAAAACAAGAAGAAGAGGAGGAGGACUCUGCAGGAGGAUGUUGCUUUCUUCAUUUAUUUAUUUUGUAUGUCGCAGUGUGAUCAAAUCGAUGAUUAGGUAUCUGGCCGUUUUUCAACAACGAGAGGAGCCAAGGAAAAGAACUCCAUUAAAGCUGAACCUGUCUGUCCAUGCUGUCUACUCAAUCUCCUCAGAUAGAUUGUUACUACGUUCUUCAACCUUUCCAAUGACUGCAUGGGGACUGAUCUAUGACAAUUAUAGGAAUGGCUGGGAAAUCCAAAAGAGAAUUUUGUCACACUAUGAAAAUUAUACAAUGUGAAUAUAUAUAAAAGAGAUCACUUUUAUUUGUGGAUAUUACAGGGGAAAUGAUUUGGUUAAUAAAGUCCUUAGUCAUGUUUGCA